rnacentral:tRNA from 1 species
GGCGGGGUAGCUCAGCUGGUUAGAGCGGCGGAAUCAUAAUCCGUAGGUCGCUGGUUCGAUCCCAGUCCCCGCUACCA